AACAGAUAUCCAAACUUAUCCAAUUUGUGUUUAUCAGAUCACUUGGGUCUCCAUGUAGAGAAUGCACUGAAGAGGCCAAGGAUGUAAGUCCAAAGCCCAGGGAGGAGACCACUGGAGUAGCUCAGACAUCAGUCCUUGUCAGUACAUAUCAACUAUCCUGAUGUUAUAAAGUCAUACUCUCAGAACCAUAUUUUGACAUGUUAAUAACCAUCCACUUAACAAAGAGUCUGACUAAAUUUAUUUAUAAGGGAACCCCAUUUUAUGCUGUCUUGGCAAGACAAAGAAAAUCCAAGUUGUGCAUGGCAGUAAAGGGGAGCCUGGAAGCAUCUCUGGCAGUUCCUUUCUUUCCCAAUUCUGAAGUGGGAAAAAGUGAGAAAGAAGAGAAAGUGGAAGUAAUGAUGAAACAAAUGUGCAAAGACUGACCCUUACUGAUGUGCAUCAAUGAAAGGAGGACAAAGCAGGCUUCUACCUCCUCUUCUUUUUGUAUUUUCUUUCCUCUCUUCUCAGUUUUUCCUAUUUCUAUUUUUCUUUCUCUUCAUAAGCUUUCUUCUCAGUUUUUACACUCCCACAUUACAUUUCAUCUUGGUCUUUGUUUUUCUUCCAAUCCUGUAAUUUAUUUGGUACCCAGGGGAUAUAUCUCAGGAAAUCUGUUACCCUAUGUCUCUUUGCUGUCUAGUUAUUUGACAAUGUUUCCUUCUCUAAUAAAGUUUUCUCCUUCUUUA